ensembl:lncRNA novel transcript, antisense to C7orf33 and CNTNAP2
GAUUUACCCCUUGCAGUGUACUUAUUACACUGUAUUGGAAUCGCUUCUUUUCUCUUUCUCUGUGAAUUUCUUGAGAGCACAGACUACAUUCUGCUUAACUUUUUAUCCCCAGCUUUCAGCACAGUGCCUGGCUUGUCUGAGGCGCAUGGCCCCGGGAGAGGAGGAGAAUGGGACGGUGGUUCAGAUCUGCUGAUGUAGCUGUGGUCAGUCACUGGGGAGAAUAGGCCUGUGGAUUUCUGCUCCUCUGAGAUGGAUCCAUCACUGACUACUGAACUUGUUUUCUCAUUGGCUCAACUUAAGAAGGUUCUAGAGUGAUGAUCUGGAGACUUUAAUAUGGGAUUUAUGAUGGCUAAAGAGCAUUACCUACCCAAGAGGAACCUUUAAUCCAGGGAGGAAGUUAUGAGUUUUUGGUUCAUUUUGUGGUCAACCUCAUUCCUUCUAGUUUUGUCUAUGGCCUAGGCGAGAGAAAAUAAUUGGAAAUGCUAUGAUGAAAAUAAUAGAACGAUUCCUCUUGUUGCUAUGGUGACAAGAAUAAAUUGAAUCCAUUGCUCUGAAAAA